CCUACGGGGUGCAGCAGUGAGGAAUAUUGGUCAAUGGACGCAAGUCUGAACCAGCCAUGCCGCGUGAAAGAAGACGGCUCUAUGAGUUGUCAACUGCUUUUGUACGAGAGUAAACGCAGAUACGCGUAUCUGUCUGAAAGUAACGUACGAAUAAGGAUCGGCUAACUCCGUGCCAGCAGCCGCGGUAAUACGGAGGAUUCAAGCGUUAUCCGGCUUUGUUGGGUUUAAAGGUGGCGUAGGCGGUCGGAUAAGUUAGAGGUGAAAUCCCGAGGCUUAAAUUUGGAAUUGCCGCUGAUACUGUUCGGCUAGAGGGUAGUAGCGGUAGGCGGAAUGUAUGGUGUAGCGGUGAAAUGCUUAGAGAUCAUACAGAACACCGAUUGCGAAGGCAGCUGACCAGGCUACUUCUGACGUUGAGGCACGAAAGCGUGGGUAGCGAACAGGAUUAGAUACCCGUGUAGUC
rnacentral:rRNA from 1 species